rnacentral:rRNA from 1 species
CCUACGGGUGGCAGCAGUGAGGAAUAUUGGUCAAUGGACGAGAGUCUGAACCAGCCAUGUCGCGUGAAGGAUGACUGCCCUAUGGGUUGUAAACUUCUUUUAUAAAGGAAUAAAACGAGGCACGUGUGCCUUUUUGCAUGUACUUUAUGAAUAAGGAUCGGCUAACUCCGUGCCAGCAGCCGCGGUAAUACGGAGGAUCCGAGCGUUAUCCGGAUUUAUUGGGUUGAAAGGGAGCGUAGAUGGGUUGUUAAGUCAGUUGUGAAAGGUUGCGGCUUAACCGUAAAAUUGCAAUUGAUACUGGCAGUCUUGAGUACAGUUGAGGUAGGCGGAAUUCGUGGUGUAGCGGUGAAAUGCGUAGAGAUCACGAAGAACCCCGAUUGCGAAGGCAGCCUACUAAACUGUGACUGACAUUGAUGCGCGAAAGUGUGGGUAUCAAACAGGAUUAGAUACCCGUGUAGUC